AUGAAGCCAACAGGAAACGCUGGAGACUGGCCAUCCCCAUCGAUUUCUGAUUGUUGGAGUGGGAGGCUGAACCCGGAAAUAGAGAAACUAAAACACUACCAAGUUGUGAGAAAGAGAAACAGAGGGAAAAAGUGGGAAAGGAAGCCUUGCCCUGUGGUUUGGCCUGGUAAGAAUCUCCUUUCUUCCUGUCCUCAAAGGUCUGAGAGCCUCCAGCUCAUCCUCAGUCACUCACUGGUGGGUCCUUGCCCCUACCUCCCCUCUCCCCACAGGCUCCCGACUCAGCGCUCCAACCUUAACCGACCUUCUAUUCCUCUGCGGGGCUGUGGGCCCUCCUGGGCUCCUCCUGGGCUCCUCCCGGUGCCCUGCAUCACCCCUCUGCCCAGACAGGGGUCCCCAGGAAGGCCAGGAAAGGACUCACCCCUGGUGGGAGCGGUGCCCCUGUAGCUCCCCGCGGGCCCAGUGCGAGGCAGACUCUCAGGGACCGUCUCAGUUCCUCAGUCUCUCAGUCUCAGGGAUUCCAGGCUGUUCUCAGCGGGGUGGGAGGGAGGCGUUGUGAGCUGCGUCUCCCAGCUCCCUCGGAGCUCCCAGCUUUCCCCUCGGAAUUAGAUAACAGGAAAAAUAGAUAAGAGAAGUGGUUCAUUAAUUCAGCAAGCAUUUUUUUUUUGGGGGGGGUAUGUGUACAAGUGGAAGGAAAUCCUGUUAGGGAAUGAAGCCCUGGUUGAACAUUUUUUUAAAAAGUCAAUGUUCAGAAUGUUCCAGAGAUGCUUCCAGAAGGUCACUCAGAAGGACCGAGAUGGACAGGAAACAAACCUAAGGAAUCACUAUUUGUGGGGAAAAGUGCUGACUUCACAGCAGGGGGCCCUGCACCCCAAGUCUCUCAGAGGCUAGUCCUGCCCUUCUGAGGAGUGGGGCUGGAUGCUUCACAUUGCCUGCUUAGGUAGGUGCUGUCAUCCUCCGAGGGUAGAAAUCACAGUCACUGCAGUACUGCUCUUCCUAGUACAGCAAUACAAAAUCAGAGAUUUUUUAAAAAUAUUUUUUAAAAUUUUAUUUAUUUAUGAUAGUCACACACAGAGAGAGAGAGGCAGAGACACAGGCAGAGGGAGAAGCAGGCUCCAUGCACCGGGAGCCCGACGUGGGAUUCGAUCCUAGGUCUCCAGGAUCGCGCCCUGGGCCAAAGGCAGGCGCCAAACCGCUGCGCCACCCAGGGAUCCCCAAAAUCAGAGAUUUUUAAAAAAAGAUUUUAUUUAUUUAUUCAUGAGAGACACAGAGAGAGAGGCAGAGACAUAGGCAGAGGGAGAAGCAGGCUCCCUCCCAGGGAGCCCGAUGCAGGAUUCAAUCCCAGGACCCCAGGAUCCUGACCUCAGCUGAAAGCUGAGGCUCAACCAACUGAGCCACCCAGGUAUCCCCAAAUCACAGAUUUUCAAAGCUCUUUUUGUGUCGUAUU
rnacentral:lncRNA from 12 species